rfam:Musa acuminata subsp. malaccensis Doubled-haploid Pahang (DH-Pahang) genomic chromosome, chr1
GUUGCUUCCGAUCUGGAAGAGUGGCCUCCUUUAGGUCAUUCUGUAGAGGAAGCAUAUAUAUGUGAUAUGGCCAGUGUUAAACAGCAUGUUGUUCAGUAAUAGCAUCAUGUUACCUGUCUUCUGGUAAACUA